GAGUUUGAUCCUGGCUCAGGACGAACGCUGGCGGCGUGCUUAACACAUGCAAGUCAAGGGGGGGUAGCAAUACUCAACCGGCGAACGGGUGCGUAACACGUGAGCGACCUACCUUUUUGUGGGGGAUAGCCGGCCCAACGGCCGGGUAAUACCGCAUACGCUCUCUUUGGGGCAUACUGGGGAGAGGAAACUUUCGAGGCAGAAAGAGGGGCUCGCGGCCUAUCAGCUAGUUGGCGGGGUAAUGGCCCACCAAGGCAGUGACGGGUAGCUGGUCUGAGAGGAUGGCCAGCCACAUUGGGACUGAGAGACGGCCCAGACUCCUACGGGAGGCAGCAGUGGGGAAUCUUGCGCAAUGGCCUAACGGCUGACGCAGCGACGCCGCGUGGGGGAGGAAGGGCUUCGGCUCGUAAACCCCUGUUGCCCGGGGCGAACAUCCUGUUUCGACAGGACUGACGGUACCGGGUGAGGAAGCACCGGCUAACUCCGUGCCAGCAGCCGCGUAAUAC
rnacentral:rRNA from 1 species